AGCCUGGCCACACCCCCGGGCUCCCGCUCACUGGUUGCAAAACAACCUCGUCCCUCCACGGAGCUUCCCUUCCUGGGGCCUGCUGGGGAAGCACCGGCGGCUUAUGGUGGCUGUGGUUUGGUGCUCGGGACCCACACGUAAAAGGAGCUCAUUCUGAGGCAGGGGCAGAUGAGAGUGGAGGCUGUAAAUUACCCUCUAUGCAAUGGCUCAUCAUAAAGGAUAUGGAGCGAAAUUAGAGGAGGCACGAGAAGGAAAGCCCGUGAUGAACAAGGCAGGGGCUGCUGCUGCGUGAUUGAAGACAGGCUGGGAACUCGGGAGAAGCCGCUGGAAAUUGACUUGGGUUGGAGGUCUGAUUCCAGCAUCCCAAGCCAGAAGAGCCCCGGGCGAAGCCUUCUGCUCUGCCUUGCGGAGUAGGAUAGGGAAUAUGUGUGCAGAAUACUUCCUGAGACUCAUAGUGCUAUCUACAUGGAAUGUGAAGUCAGAAUGUCUCUAAAUCCUGGCUCCGUUGGGUUUUGGCUGUGUGACUUUGGGUGUUGGUCCUCAGAGAACCUUCCCUGGGACAAUCCCAUCCACAGCAGCCACUACCUAACUUGUCACUGAUAUCCGCUGGAAGCUACUGAGGACUCCUCAUUACUCUCCCUUGGAAGACUUUGCCUGCAAUGGAGCCAACACAGUGGAGAGCAGAGCUGAGAAAUGAACAGACAACUCCUGAUGCAUCAUUUGAGCACCUGGAUUUAGCCAUGCCUGAAACUAUUAUAGCCUUGGACUUUUCAACCAUGUCUCGGUUCCAGAGGGAAGAACACUGCCACCAGGAGACACACAACAAUCUCAUUAAACUGGAAGUUAAGAGUGCCACCAGGACACUUUGGGCUCCUCCUUCCUUUAAGUCAACAAGCUAAGAAGGGAGUUACAGUGUUGGCUAGGGUGUUGACCCAGCCUAUCAAGAUGAAAUCAAUUUACUACUCCACAACAGAGGUAAGGAAGAGUAUACAUGGAACACAGGGGAUCGAUUGGGCGCUCUUAGUAUUACCAUGUCCUGUGAUUAAAGUCAAUGGGAAACUACAACAGCCCAAUCCAGACAGGACUACAACUGACCCAGACCCUUCAGGAAUGAAGGUUUGGGUCAUUCCACCAGGAAAAAAAAGCACCACCUGCUGAGGUGCUUGCUGAAGGCAAAAGGAAUACAGAAUGUGUAGCAGAAGAAGCUAGUCAUCAAUACCAGCUACGACCACGUGACAGGCUGCAGAAAUGGGGACUGUAAUUGUCAGGAGUAUUUCCUCCUUCGUUGUUAAAUAUGUUUGUGCAUGUAUAUACUUGUACUAAGAAAAUAUCUUCAUUUUAUUUCCUUUCUCCUUUAUCAUGUGACAAGAUUUAUUGACUUCACAUCAGCAUUUAAGUAUUGUUAACUUUACGUAAUAGUAUUCGGUUGGGGAUUGGUGAGUUUCUGGUUGUACGAAGGAUAGUUGUAUUGUGUUAGGUGUAAUUAUGACAUUAUUGUCUUUAUUUGAAGAUUAUGUAUGAUCUCAGGAGAUGUGUAUGGAUUCAAAUUGACAAGUGGUAGAUGGACCACUUGAGAUGGUUAAUACUGAGUAUCAACUUGACUGAAUUGAAGGAGACAAAUUAUUAAUCCUGGGUGUGUCUGUGAGGUGUUGCCAAAGGAGAUUAACAUUUGAGUCAGUGGGCUGGGAAAGGCAGGCCCACUUUUGAUCUGGGUGGGCACCAUCUAAUCAGCUGCCAGCACAGCUAGAAUAAAAAGCAGGCAGAAAAAUGUGAAAAGAGAGACUGGCCUAGCCUCCUAGCCUACAUCUUUCUCCCAUGCUGGAUGCUUCCUACCCUUGAACAUCAGACUCCAAGUUCUUCAGUUUUGGAACUCAGACUGGCUGUCCUUUCUUCUCAGCCUGCAGACAGCCUGUUAUGGGACCUUGUGUGAGUUAAUACUAAAUAAACUUCCAUGUAUGUAUAUGUAUAUGUAUAUGUAUAUGUAUAUGUAUAUGUAUAUGUAUAUGUAUAUGUAUAUGUAUAUGUAUACAUACCUUGUGUGAGUUAAUACUAAAUGAACUUCCAUGUAUGUAUAUGUAUAUGUAUAUGUAUAUGUAUGUGUAUGUGUAUGUGUAUGUGUAUAUGUAUACAUACCUUGUGUGAGUUAAUACUAAACUUCCAUGUAUAUAUAUAUAUAUAUAUAUAUUUGUAUGUAUAUGUAUAUGUAUACAUACCUUGUGUGAGUUAAUACUAAAUGAACUUCCAUGUAUAUAUAUAUAUAUAUGUAUGUAUAUGUAUAUGUAUAUGCAUAUGUAUGUAUAUCUAUUCCAUUAGUUCUGUCCCUCUAGAGAACCAUGACCAAUACACCUACAAAGUCAGGUUGACCAGAAUCCCCCACUCUCCCUAUCCAAUCAUCCCCCUCAUCUUGCACCAUACCGAGGUGAUGACUGAUCACCCUGGCUUGCCUUUAGCAAGAAUCCUAUUAUGUCAGUUAAGUGAAGAAUUCCCUUACCCUCAGUGAUUUUCCAACCACCAACUUUUCACUGGCUAUAAAUCCCCACCAUUCCUUGUUGUAUUUUUGGAGCUGAGAAAGAAAAGAAACUUUUCAUCUGAGGAAUGCCAGUCCCUUUAAAUAACCCGGCCCAGAAAGGCAUUGAAAUGUGACAGAAGGCUCAUAUCACCCAUCCCCCUUGAAUUAAGUAAUCUACCUGCUACGUGGACUCUAGACUGAGUGUCCUCACCAAGCAGCUAUAAAUUAAUCUAACAAUGCCACACACUGGACACCAUGACCCAUACUCUACAGUUCAACAAUGUAGUGCCAAUUACUCAUCAAUGUUAUUUCUGCAAACCAGUGAGAAUUCCUGAGGAACAACCUUUGUAAUCCUUCCCUCUUUGAAUUUGCCCUCUUUCUUUGAAAACUCGAGUCUCUCCUUUAUUCUCUGGAGAUUUCCCAGCGUUUCCCAGACUGCAGUCCUCAACCUUGUUCCAAAUAAACUCACUGUAUUAAUUUUGCUUCUGUUUCUUUCUUUAGGUAGACAGGGUUGCGCCCAAUCUCUCUCCCCUACUGAAAAACCCCGCUGUAGCAGUCACCUGAAUGAAGUGUGCCUUCUCGUCUUUCAUGAGUGUCAGAGUAAUUUCUUUAACAGUGAUCAGACCACACAGUGGUGAGUCCAACGUGCAGGUCAGAGCAAGCAGUCAAGAAGGAAAGGCCAGAAACAGGUGGAAAGCCUACCAGGACAAGCUAGAGCCCCACAAGGACAGACUGAAGCCCAUGUUCUUGGUGAUGAGGGCAUCCUACAGAAGUCAGGCCUUUGUUCCAGAUCUGAACACAUACACCUGGCCCAGCUCCUGCAUCACAUCAACAAGGUCAUAAAGCAGCAGAGACAACUCACAACAGCAGCAACACAUUUGGCCCAGGAACUGUUAGUGAACGUACAGUGCAGUGGUGGUUCAAGAAGUUAUGUGAAGGAAACGAGAGGCUUGAAGAUGAGCAGCGUCAUGGCUGGCCACUGGGAGUCAACAAUGACCAAUGGAGAGCAAUCAUCGAAACUGAUCCUCUUACAACCACUUGAGAAGUUGUCAAAGAACUCAGCAUCGACCAUUCGAUGGUUGUUCAGCAUCUGAAGCAAAUUGGAAAGUUGAAAAAGCCCAAUAAAUGAAAAACCUCAUAAAAUGAAAAAGCUCAAUAAAACGAAAAACCUCAUGGGCUGAAAGUCAAAAAUAUCAUCAUUUUGAAGUGUCACUUCUCUUAUUCUAUGCAACAAUGAUGAACCAUUUCUCAAUCGGAUUGUGAUGAGCCACAGUGGUGGAUUUUCUACAACAAUUGGUGAUGACCGGCUCAGUGGUUGGACCAAGAAGAAGCUCCAAAGCACUUCCCAAACCAAACUGCACCAAAAAAAAAGGUCAUGGUUACUACAGCUGCCAGUCUGACCCACUACAGCUUUCUGAAUCUGGUGAAACCAAUUCAUCUGAGAAGUAUGCUCAGAAGAUUGAGGAGAUGCACUGAAAACUGCAACCCCCACCACUGGCCUUGAUCAACAGAAAGGGCCCAAUUCUUCUCCACGGCAAUGCUCACCCGCACGUUGGCACAGCCCAUCCUUCAAAAGUUUAAAGAAUUGGGCUAUGAAAUAUUGCCUCAUCCACCAUAUUCACAUGACCUCUCACCAACCAACUACCACUUCUUCAAGCAUCUUGACAGCUUUUUACAGGGAAACAGCUUCCACAACCAGCAGGAAACAGAAAAUGCUUUCCAAGAGUUCAUUGAAUCCCAAAACACAGAUUUUUAUGCUACAGGAAUAAACAAACUUAUUUCUCCUUGGCAAAAAUGUGCUGAUUGUAAUGGUUCCUAUGUUGAUUAGUAAAGAUGUGUUUGAACCUAGUUAUAAUGAUUUAAAAUUCACAGUCUGAAACCGCACUUACAUUUGACCAACAUAACAGUUUAAGUAGAAGAUGGAAAUUUAUAAGGAUAUAGAGAUGUCUCUGAGAACUAGGGGAGGAAACACACAAGUUCCUCAGGAAGGGACCAGAGCUGGCACUUCGAAAGUCCAGAUUAUCUUUCCAUCUCUUAUCUCUGCUGUGAUGUUUCUGCUUCAUGCUUUCCCUCUUCCUCUAGCUCCUUCUAGAAGAUUGUCUUCUGCUUCUUGGUGAAAAAUACUCCCCCUCAUGGCUAUCAGGAACGCAUGGUGAAGAUCCAGGCACGCCAUGGGAACGACUGUCUCACUGGGUUCCACUUCCACAUCCCCAGGGAAGGGACUCUGCUUGGCCCAAUGUGAUUCAAGAGCCCAAUGAAAAGCAGUCACCUAUAGCCAUGGGAGAGGCCACAUGUUAUCCUGUGUCACCAAAUGCGUGCUGAACUGAGGGGGUGUCAUAAGAGCAGAUUGUUGUCAACAGGGCAGACAUUCUCAAAGUGUCUGCUGUGGGUGACUCUGGAGCAAGUAGAGAAUAAAGUCAUCCCCCUCUCCAGCCAAACCCGCCCCUCACAGCCCGUGUACCAAGGGUGGUCUGAGAACCUGGCAGAGAAAAUGGCACCGUGAGCAAGACAUGAAAAAUUCAUUGACUGCCUGCCUGUCUGUGAGGGAAGCAAUGCCAAGCUUCAUUCAUGCUCAUCAUUAAUUCAAUCCCAGGCUGGACUCUUUGGCUCAGAGCUUUCAGUUUAAAACAAAUGAGCUUAGAUGUACAGUCAGCCCAUGGUUGUCUGCAGGUGAUCUAUGCUGAAGCUGGCUUCUCUCUGGCAAACCCUCCUUUCAAAGUUAUUGCCAGUUAACAGAUUCUACACAGCCCUAACUACCCCUUGGAGGACAUUUGGAGCUCGGGAUUUGCAGUUAGCACCUUUCUCUGCUUAAUUACAGCAUUAUAGAUAUCUCUGCACCCUCUAUUUACUUUGCCUGCUGAGAUGCGUGCUGAAAGCCAACCUCCACCUGCCUGGCUCCAGGGAAGGUUAGAGAGGCAGACCUUUCAUCAAGCAGAGAAUAAGCUGUCUGCCCCCAGGGAGCAGGGCUGGGAGGAGCUGGGUGAACACCAGGUGGGAAACUUGGCUCUCAGUUUCCUGCGUCUCCAGAGUCAAGUCCUUACCAAGUCUUUACCUCUUUUGUUCUUAGAAUGUAAAAUAAUAGCUCAUAUUACUGAGUUCCUAUUAUGCGCUUAUCACUUUGUUUGGUGGCCAGCCUCCAAGAUGGCCCUCUGUCAUUCUUACCUUCUGGUAUUCAUGCCCUUGGGUAGUCCCUUCCCACAAUGAACCAGAGCUGACCUGUGUGAUGAGAAGAAUACUACAGAAGGAACAGUAUAUGAUUUCUGAUGUUAUGCCAUAAAAGACAUUGAGGCACCUGCCUUUGCCUCUUGGAUAGCCUGCUCUGGUGGAAGGCAGCCGCCAUAUUGUGAGGGCACUCAAGCAGACUUCAGGAAAGGACUGUGUGGAGAAGAACUGAUGCUUUUGGCCAAUAUCUAGCACCAACUUGCCAGCCAUGUAUGUGAGUGACCUUGGAAGUAGAUGCUCCCGCCCCUAUUAAGCCUUCAAAUGAUCCCAGCCCCUAGCUUCCAAGUCUUCCAGCUGCAGCCCCAGAGAGUAGAACAGAGCUAAGCUGCCCAACUAUACUUCAUCUGAAUUAUCCAUGCAAACUGUGAGAUACAAUAAAUGAUUGCUGUUGUUUCAAGUCAUUAAGUUUCGGGUGGUUUGUUACACAGCACAGACAACCCUUGUACAACAUGGGUUUAAACUGUCCAGGUUUACUUAUAUGCAGGUUUUUCUCAAUAAAAUCUCCAUUGAACAUGCCUGCCUCUCCUGCUCCCCGCUUCCAGCUCCUCCACCUCUUCUGCCUCUGCCACCUGGAUACAGAAAGGCCAACUCCUCCUCCUCCUCCUCCUCAACC